rnacentral:snoRNA from 1 species
UUGCAGCCAAUUAAGCCAACUGUGCUCUUUUCCCCAUGGGGGCCCAGUGUGCAAUGGCUGCAAACAGCAGCCUCCUUGGUAGUGUAUGCAACCUGUUGCCUGUACAGGUAGCCCUAAGGGACCUUGGAGACAACA